CACCUUUGACAUGUACGGAAUUCGCCAGAGAUGGCUUAGUGCUCGAAAGAGAGCCGUAACACAGGUGCUGCAUGGCUGUCGUCAGCUCGUGUCGUGAGAUGUUGGGUUAAGUCCCGCAACGAGCGCAACCCUUGUCAUUAGUUGCUACAUUCAGUUGGGCACUCUAAUGAGACUGCCGGUGACAAACCGGAGGAAGGUGGGGAUGACGUCAAGUCCUCAUGGCCCUUAUAGGG
rnacentral:rRNA from 1 species